rnacentral:rRNA from 1 species
UAGCUAGUUGGUGAGGUAACGGCUUACCAAGGCGACGAUCUGUAGCGGGUCUGAGAGGAUGAUCCGCCACACUGGAACUGAGACACGGUCCAGACUCCUACGGGAGGCAGCAGUGGGGAAUUUUGGACAAUGGGGGCAACCCUGAUCCAGCCAUGCCGCGUGAGUGAAGAAGGCCUUCGGGUUGUAAAGCUCUUUCGGCCGGGAAGAAAUCGCAUGGGCCAAUACCCUGUGUGGAUGACGGUACCGGAAUAAGAAGCACCGGCUAACUACGUGCCAGCAGCCGCGGUAAUACGUAGGGUGCGAGCGUUAAUCGGAAUUACUGGGCGUAAAGCGUGCGCAGGCGGUUUUGUAAGACAGGCGUGAAAUCCCCGGGCUCAACCUGGGAACUGCGCUUGUGACUGCAAGGCUAGAGUACGGCAGAGGGGGGUGGAAUUCCACGUGUAGCAGUGAAAUGCGUAGAGAUGUGGAGGAACACCAAUGGCGAAGGCAGCCCCCUGGGUCGAUACUGACGCUCAUGCACGAAAGCGUGGGUAGCAAACAGGAUUAGAUACCCUGGUAGUCCACGCCCUAAACUAUGUCAACUAGGUGUUGGGUGGGUAAAACCAUUUAGUACCGUAGCUAACGCGUGAAGUUGACCGCCUGGGGAGUACGGCCGCAAGGUUAAAACUCAAAGGAAUUGACGGGGACCCGCACAAGCGGUGGAUGAUGUGGAUUAAUUCGAUGCAACGCGAAAAACCUUACCUACCCUUGACAUGCCAGGAACUUGCCAGAGAUGGCUUGGUGCCCGAAAGGGAGCCUGGACACAGGUGCUGCAUGGCUGUCGUCAGCUCGUGUCGUGAGAUGUUGGGUUAAGUCCCGCAACGAGCGCAACCCUUGUCGUUAAUUGCCAUCAUUUAGUUGGGCACUUUAGCGAGACUGCCGGUGACAAACCGGAGGAAGGUGGGGAUGACGUCAAGUCCUCAUGGCCCUUAUGGGUAGGGCUUCACACGUCAUACAAUGGUCGGUACAGAGGGUCGCCAAGCCGCGAGGUGGAGCCAAUCCCAGAAAGCCGAUCGUAGUCCGGAUUGCAGGCUGCAACUCGCCUGCAUGAAGUCGGAAUCGCUAGUAAUCGUGGAUCAGCAUGUCACGGUGAAUACGUUCCCGGGUCUUGUACACACCGCCCGUCACACCAUGGGAGCGGGUUCCGCCAGAAGUAGGUAGCCUAACCGCAAGGAGGGCGCUUACCACGGCGGGGUUCGUGACUGGGGUGAAGUCGUAACAAGGUAGCCGUAGGGGAACCUGCGGCUG